GCGGUACUUCGACCGUGCAAAGGUAGCAUAAUCAUUUGCCUUAUAAUUGAAGGCUAGUAUGAAUGGUUUGACGAGAAUUAAGCUGUCUCUUCUCAAUUAAAUAUAAUUUUAUUAACAGGUGAAGAAGCCUGUGUGUUAUUGAAAGACAAGAAGACCCUAUCGAGCUUUAAGGAAUUCAAUAGAUUUAUUAUAUAUUUAUAUAAAUAUAAAACUAUUGAAAACUUUGGUUGGGGCGACUGAGGAACAAAAAAAGCUUCCUUUAUAUCUUUAGAACCUACAAGUAUUGAUCCAAUAAAUUUGAUUAAAGGAAUUAGUUACCGUAGGGAUAACAGCAUAAUCUUCUUUGAGAGUUCUUAUCGAAAAGGAGGUUUGUGACCUCGAUGUUGGACCAGAAUACCCAGAAGAUGUAGCCGUCUUCAAUGGUUGGUCUGUUCGACCAUUAAAAUUCU
rnacentral:rRNA from 1 species